rnacentral:tRNA from 1 species
UCAAAAAGUAGUAUAUCUUAUUACAAUUCGCUUACACCGAAUAAAAGGUUCCAUUAAUCCUUUUUGAA